rnacentral:rRNA from 1 species
AUUGAACGCUGGCGGCGGGCUUAACACAUGCAAGUCGAACGAGUGGCGGACGGGUGAGUAAUGCUUGGGAAUCUUGCUUAUGGGGGGGGGUAACUACGGGAAACUGAAGCCAAUACCGCGUACCAUAGGAUGAGCCCAAGUGGGAUUAGGUAGUUGGUGGGGUAAAGGCUCACCAGGCCGACAAUCGCUAGCUGGUCUGAGAGGAUGACCAGCCAAACUGGGACGGAGACACGGCCCAGACUCUUACGGGAGGCAGCAUGGGGGAACAUUGCGCAAUGGGGGAAACCUGACGCAGCACGGCCGCGGGAAUGAAGAAGGCCUUCGGUUUGUAAAGUCCUUUCGGUAGGGAGGCGUUACCUAAAGAAGAAGCACCGGCUAACUCCGUGCCAGCAGCCGCGGUAAUUC